GAGCCGAGCCGAGCCGUAGAGGGGCUUGGGGACGUGUCCGAGUUGAGGCCAUUUGAACAUUAAAAGCUCUCUCGUUAAAGUUUCCAGAAUGCCUAAAAAAACGAUCACUUAGAUUUCCAAGGGUCUCAGAUGUUGAUUGUCAUAUAAUAUAGGAUUAUCUUUUUUCAGUUGAUGCUGUUGUGAAGGAGCGUGUGAAUGUUUCCCUGGAAUGACCGACAACUAAACAGUUGAAAGUGUGAGAGAGAAUUACUGCCUAAAAAGUUACAGCAUUAGUGCUUGUCUGGAGAAUGCGUACAAAAAUUCUUUCCAAGAUGAGAUACUAUGUUAAAAUACUUGACUUACAUAAAGUUUACCGACACACUGUGAUAGGAGCAGUACAGAACAGUGAGGCAUUGCAGAACGGACCCUAGAGGUCUGAAGGAAAAAUAACGGUAAAAUAAAUCAUUCAUCCCACAGGACGAAUCAGCUAUUAAAAAGUAGACCUACCACUCAGUAGCUGAAACAAGCAGUUUGCAACGUGCCGGCACGCAGCAAACAACUGAUAGUAAUCUAUAUUCCCCAAACAAUCUGAGUAUAAUAAACCUACUUUAUGAUUGACCACAUCAUCCUAAGGUGAUAGGUUCAGUCACAAAGCUGCAACUACAUGCAAUAACACAGCAGGAGCAAACUAUGAAGCACCCCCUAGUUUAACUCCAGAAGCGGCUACAGAACGCCGUGUAUCUGCCUCAGUCACGUGCAGUGGGGAUUUCCUGACACCACAACACCUCUGGCGACAGACCAGAGCACGGAGCGGCCUUCACAGCUGCCCUUUAGCCAAAAAGGUACAUCCGCAAGGAUACGAACCACUGUGAGAAGCCUGAAGGGAGGCUGAACCCUUUGCCUUACUGUCAGUGCACGUUUGUUUGUUUCACAUCCAUCAUACCUCAGGGGAAGGCUGAAAACGUAUCGCUUCUUAAAUCCAUUAAAUAAUUCAUUAAGGACAGAAACAGUUGUGUUUUGUUUUUAUGGGAGAGUGUUUUAGCUUAACUCAGCAGUUCUUAAUCAAAGUUACAGUUGCAUGGAACCAUACAAGACAUCCAUACAGCUGUGUUGUUUAACUGUCUCCCUGAAAAUUACAUCAGUGGCAUUACAUCACUGUCAAGAGCUAAUAAUAGAUGCUCUCGUUUUUAAUAUUAAUGCAUCUCCAUUUUGUAGCGUCCUUUUGCCAACAAGGGAAGUUGGUGAGAAUUUGAGAACAGCUCAGUAACGCUUACUAUUACAGUAGCAGGAAAUGCCGUGGCAUGCUAUCUUUGUGGCAGAGUUCACUCCUAACAAUGACAUUUGCGUAUUUUAUUUUAAGCACGAGACAACUCCGUGACUUAAACAGCGUUACCCAUGUAUUCGAAAUCAAGCCUGGUUUCGGGGGAGUGGGGACAAUUAUUGAUUUGAAAAUGAAUACAAAACUG
ensembl:lncRNA